GAAAUGCGAUAAGUAAUGUGAAUUGCAGAAUUCAGUGAAUCAUCGAAUCUUUGAACGCAUCUUGCGCUCUCUGGUAUUCCGGGGAGCAUGCCUGUUUGAGAAUCGCAAAGCAACACAAAUCACAUUCAUGUUUGUGAAUGUGGAGUUGGGCCGUUUUCCUUCUCUCGCAGGAGAGAGGGAUGGCUUGAAAUGCAGAAGGCCGGUCUGGGUAAAACCAGAUGAUCAGGACAGAUUUAUUUCGGAGCAAUAAUAGUUAAUGCGCUCUGCGCGUUAUCCUUUUUGCUCUGUGUCUGCCCUGGUGUGUUGGCCUGACACUUUCUUUCUUGAAAAAGGAAGAGAGGAACUAGAGUAUCUCGACGAAGGAGUUAAUUACUCCUUCUGACCUCUUAGAUCUCAAAUC
rnacentral:misc_RNA from 1 species